rnacentral:rRNA from 1 species
GACGAACGCUGGCGGCGUGCUUAACACAUGCAAGUCGAACGGUGAAGCGAGUGCUUGCACUCGUGGAUCAGUGGCGAACGGGUGAGUAACACGUGAGUUACCUGCCCAUCACUCUGGGAUAAGCACUGGAAACGGUGUCUAAUACUGGAUACGACCAACCCUUGCAUGGGGUGUUGGUGGAAAGAUUUAUCGGUGAUGGAUGGACUCGCGGCCUAUCAGCUUGUUGGCGGGGUAAUGGCCCACCAAGGCGACGACGGGUAGCCGGCCUGAGAGGGUGACCGGCCACACUGGGACUGAGACACGGCCCAGACUCCUACGGGAGGCAGCAGUGGGGAAUAUUGCACAAUGGGCGAAAGCCUGAUGCAGCGACGCCGCGUGAGGGAUGACGGCCUUCGGGUUGUAAACCUCUUUCAGCAGGGAAGAAGCGAAAGUGACGGUACCUGCAGAAGAAGCACCGGCUAACUACGUG